rnacentral:RNase_P_RNA from 2 species
UAGGCGAUCGCGGGCGCGGGGCCAUCACGGCAACGGGUGGCCUCAGGAAACUCCCCCAAGCAUGCAUGGGCCCCCGGGGCAACCCGACGGGUAAAACCGUUAAAGGGGGCGCUGGUCCAAAUAGGGGCUUGUGAAGGAACCAUGCGGCGAGGCCCGGGUAGGACCUUAGACCAAUGCUACAGAAGGGGGGUUAUGAUCGCCUA